rnacentral:tRNA from 1 species
GCGGACGUGGCGAAACUGGUAGACGCAGCAGACUUAAAAUCUGCUUUCCCUGGUGGAAGUGCGGGUUCAAGCCCCGCCGUCCGCACCA